rnacentral:lncRNA from 1 species
CCUGUAUGUGCUACUAUCUUGUCAAAUUCGUGCUAAGCUUUCCAGUGCUAUAAACAAGACCUGAAAACAUGGAUCUUGCUUAAUGGUGCUGAAUCUGUUUGGGCAAGCUUUUGCCUUGUUUGAUGCUGAUGAAUCUAUUUUGAUCAUAUGCAGGGACUUGUCUUACAACAACUUGAGCGGUCCACUUCCACCGAACAUUGGAUCCUUGAGUAACCUUGAAAGCCUGUAAGCACAAAAUUAAAUGUUUAUGUUAGCUCAUUGUUGGUUGAUUAAUUCAUAACAAAGUCUGAAGCUGGAUUAUUCAAAAGUCAUAAACUGAUCAUUUGAUUAGAACAAAGAUUCCAUAUCAUGAUUUUAAUAUAAUAUCAAUUUUAAUUUCAUUAAUGAAUCGCUUCUCUCACUUUCUCUUGUGCAUGACAGGAGCGUUGUUGGCUGCCAAUUUUCUGGUGACAUACCAAAAGAACUCAGCCAACUCCCAAAGCUGCGGUUCCUGUAAAGAUCUCAAUGACUUGGAAAAUAUUGUUAAUGAUCUCAUAUACCUGCGUCAUUUUUUUUAUGUUAAUAAGAAGUUGUGACGGUAAAAAGUUGUGACGGUAAAUGAAGACAGUAGUUUAGACUUAGUUGAAAUUUCAAUUUGAAAACCCUUCUUUUUUCACAUUGACUUAUUUGUUAGCUCGAAACCAUUUCCAUUUCAUUCCAGGUAAAACAGAAAAUAGUUUUUAUCUGUUUUGGGGGAUAUAACAAACAAAAGGAAAUGCUAACUGAGUAUCAACUUUGUAUUAUUUCUUAUAGUAUCAUGGUAUAAGAGUUGAUGGAUUGUAUUGCUGCAGGUCCUUGAACAACAACAGGUUUACUGGAAGUAUACCUCCAUCAAUUGGCAACCUUUCAAAUAUGUACUGGCUUGACUUGGGUGAAAAUCGUCUGACUGGAUCACUUCCAGUAUCUGAUGGAACCAAUACUGGAUUGGACAAUUUGACAAACGCUCUGCAUUUGUGAGUACCUUUCUUAAAAUAUCUACCAGGCUUUCAGUUCACUCGCUUCCAUUCUAAGGAAAAUGUUCGGACUGCUCUUUAUUCAGUCAUUUUGGGGUCAACCAGCUAUCAGGCACCAUACCAAGCCAGCUAUUCAAAUCAAAUAUGAAGCUCAUACAUCUGUAAGGCAAAGAUAACCUUAGAUAAUAUUUGCAAACUGUUUCAUUACUUUUAAUCUGUUAUGUCAUGCUCAAGAUUACCCAUUGUUCUUGUCAUUCAGGUUGCUUGAUAACAACAAUUUCACUGGCGGCAUUCCUCCCACAUUGACCCUUUUAACUAAACUUGAAGUCCUGUAAGUGCAUACUUUUUCUGAGCAGGCUUAUAACCAGCUUUCUUCUAACUGAGUGACCAUUCAGUAUAUAAUCCAUACAACUCAAUAUGCACAGGCGUCUCGACAGAAAUUACCAACUGACUGGACCUGUUCCUGCCAGCAUCAAUAGCCUCACAAAACUACAAGAAUUGUAAUUUUCUGGUUACUCUGAAUCUCUGAUCAGUAUUUGAAUGUGCUAGCCUUCAAUUCUAACAAAUAACCAACCUUAUUCUUUGUCAGGCAUCUAGAAAACAAUAAAUUGACAGGCCCUCUGCCAGACUUGACAGGAAUGGAUUCACUAUAUGUUGUGUAAGUGCCGAACACACUGUGGUACACUCUACUGAAAUUUUAUCAUAGGAAACCCUUGUAUCUGGCAUAUUGAACUUUUGGUUCAUUUGGCCAGUAAGUACAACUAAUCUGACAACACAUUUGCAGCUCCAUGGGCAACAACAACUUCAGUUCAUCCAAUGUUCCAACCUGGUUCACAGCUUUGUCAGCCUUGACUUCACUGUAAUUCUUCUCUGCACACUUUUUGUAGAACACAAGGAUGCAAUUUUUUUUACACUCGCUUUCAAAUCUCGGUAAAUGCACAGGAACCUUGAGAACCUACACAUCACUGGGGAGCUUCCGCAGCCUCUUUUCAAACUCCCGGCUAUCCAGACACUGUGAGUGGAAUUAGUGUUAUCUUUGCUCAUAAUAUGUGGUUACAAGAACUAUGCACUCAAUGAACAAAAAAAAAAGAGUAAAGGAAAUUGAACAUGUCAGUGCUAACUAGCAAGGUAAACUGGUGGUGGCAGGGGUCUUAAGGGCAAUAAUUUCAACGGCACACUAACCAUCGGAUCAGACUACAGCAGCACGCUCUCACUGAUUGAUUUGCAGGACAACCAGAUCACCACUCUCGCCGUGAGCGGGGCUCAGUACAACAAGAAACUCAUGUAAGAUCCAUCAAAUAUACCAAGAGAAAUUUUACGGUCCUUUAAAAAGAACUUCGAGGUACCUAAAUUUACACUAAAGAUUUUGGAACCUCGAGUUACCUAGUACCUGGAGGUAUCAAGUUUUACACCAGAAAAUGUGAUACCUCCUGGUACCUUCUCAAGGAUGAUAAAAUUACCCAAUAUACCAAUUCUUCAGUAUGUAGGCGCUCUUAUAUAUGCUUUCAUUCACACUCCCAUGUUUCUCUUCUCAUCACAGACUUGUUGGGAACCCAAUCUGUGUUCAGGGGAACAAUGAGGCACUGUACUGCAAAAGCUCACAGCAAGCGAACCCUGCAGCAAAGCCUUACUCUACUCAAUCCAUUUGUCCUGGAUUACCACCCACAUGCCUGUCGGACCAGUAUCUCAGCCCCAACUGCACCUGCGCGGUGCCAUACAUGGGUACUCUGCACUUCCGGUCACCACCGUUCUUCGACCUAAGCAACGAUACAUUCUUUGUACUCCUCGAGGAAAACAUGAAAGAAGCGUUCCUGGGCAAGCAGCUUCCUGUUGAGUCCAUUGCUCUGGAUAACCCGGCAUUCGGUCCUAGCAACAACUUGGAUAUAAACUUGAGAGUGUUCCCAAGCGGAAAGAUUCGGUUCGGCAAAGAAGAUAUCUCCUACAUUGGGUUCAUGCUCAACAACCAGACCUACAAGCCUCAUGCUCCUGGUAUAAAUUAUGGGCCAUACUAUUUCAUUGGGCAAUCCUACCCAUUCGCUGAGAGUAAGUCAACUGUUCGAAAAUCUCAACUACUGUAGAAUUAAUCCACUACCGAAUUCCUUUUUUUUUUUUGUUGAAGAAUUGGCACUACUGAUUUCUAGACUUCUUCAUGAUUACACAGCACUAUCAGCACCCAGACAGACGAAAAAGAACCAGUCCCUCAUCAUUGGUGUGUCAGCUGGUGGAGCUUUUGUUGUUGUGUCACUGCUUGUUCUUUUUACAGUUCUGUUUUUCAGGAGGAACAAAAGGCCAAAGCUGCAGCCACAACCCAGGAGCCCAUCUUACGGUAAGAAGCAUUGGAUAAAAAAAAAAUCAUGUUUUUUGUCCAUUUGAGUUGACCAACACAUGAGCUGGCAAAUAAAAUUACUUAAAUGGCUGUAGCUUCAUGGGACAUCAAGAGCACCAGCAUCAGCACCCCGCAUCUCCAAGGCGCGCGGGUGUUCACAUUCGAUGAGCUGAAGAAAAUCACAAACAGCUUCUCCGAUGCUAAUGACAUUGGAACUGGUGGCUAUGGGAAGGUAAUAUAUAGUAUAUUUGUUGAAACGGGUAUGUGACUAUCUUUAGUGCCUGACAUCCAAAGCGAUAAUGCUGAUCAAUUGCAGGUCUACAGAGGAGUACUCCCAAAUGGGCAUCUAAUUGCAGUCAAAAGAUCCGAGCAAGGGUCCUUGCAAGGCAACCUAGAAUUCCGGACUGAGAUAGAGCUCCUAUCCAGGGUUCAUCACAAGAACCUUGUCAGCCUUGUGGGAUUUUGCUUUGACCAGGGUGAGCAAAUGCUGGUCUAUGAGUAUGUGCCCAAUGGCACACUCAAGGACAGCCUCACAGGUGUGUCCAUAUGUUCAGUUAUGCAUGACUGAAUCUGCAAUUCUCCUUUGUGAAAAUAAACAUAUUCUGCUCACAUCUUUUUCAGGGAAGUCUGGGGUGCGCCUAGAUUGGAAGAGACGGCUGCGAGUAGUACUUGGUGCAGCGAAAGGCAUCGCGUACCUGCAUGAGCUUGCAGACCCUCCGAUAGUACACAGGGAUAUAAAGUCAAGUAACAUUCUUCUUGAUGGAAACCUCCACACAAAGGUUUCCGACUUUGGUCUCUCCAAGCCUCUGAACCAGGAUGGAAGGGGUCAGGUCACAACUCAAGUGAAAGGAACCAUGGUGAGUUUCACAGCUCUCUUAACUGCAAUACUGCAACGAUUAAGCACAUUGGAUACUGUUUCCUGGUUAUUUUUCAUCAACUCUGUAAGAUGAGUAUACAGAGCUGUUUAAAGAUUAUAAAAUACUUGUCAUGUAGGGAUAUUUGGACCCUGAAUACUACAUGACCCAGCAGUUGACCGAGAAGAGCGAUGUCUACAGCUUCGGUGUGCUACUACUUGAAGUGAUAACGGCGAGAAAGCCAUUAGAGAGGGGAAGGUACAUCGUGCGUGAGGUGAAAGGUGCAAUGGAUAGGACCAAGGACCUAUACGGCCUCCAUGAGCUCCUAGACCCAAUGCUAGCACCCACGUCGCUGGCCGGCUUCGAACUGUAUGUCGACUUGGCUUUGAAGUGCGUGGAGGAGGCAGGAAUGGACCGCCCAUCAAUGAGUGAGGUGGUGGCGGAGAUUGAGAAGAUCAUGAAGAUGGCAGGCGUAAACCCAAAGGUCGACUCGGCAUCAAACUCGAUGAGCUACAACAGCAGGACACCGCGUCAUCCAUACAGUGGAGAGUCUCAAUUUGAUUACAGUGGUGGCAUCCCAUCUUCGUCCAGGGUUGAACCAAAAUGAUCAGUUCGGUCGGCCCACAAUGAUCUCCAUGUAAAUAACUUGGCGCUUGUUUGUUUGUGUACAGUUCAUCAAGGUUCUGAACUGCUUCGUACAGUGACUUUCUUCUGGAAUUUCUGUAUGAUUAAUUAGCUAACAAUCUGGGUGUGUAAGUUGUUGUGCUAGAAAUCUCCUGUUGGUAAUGCCUUUUAUAUACGACACUUUUUUAGUGUUAUCUGUCAUAUAUAUGUUUAACGAUUCUAUGGCGCAAAGGGGAUUUGGGGAAUUUGCUUCUCCAGUAUUAUAACCAAAUAACCAAAGAACCAAAAUUUUUCCCAAAUGCAACAGGCUGACACUGAGAAGAUGAGCAAUUCAUCAUCAUUUUCCUUUCCAAUCGACCAACGGUGUAAUCUAGACUGCGCCCCACAACCACAACAUUGGUUCUGAUUUCACCGAUUCCAGAACUAAUCAAACCUCAUAAACCAAAAUACAGUAAGUAGCUAAACUAGUACUGAUAGUGGGGAUAAACCGAUCGCGCGACAAAACGGGUCGAGAUCUCCGUAAUCUAGUAAUAAAUCGAUCGCGCAAGUAGAUUCAGAUUGGGGGUUAGUGACCAUGGCGGGAGGACGUAGGGGGCUUACUUGGGAUCUGAGAUGGUGCGGCGCGCCUCCUCGUCGACCGAGGCGGCGCGCGCCGGAGAGGGAGGCCCGCGACGGUGGGGGCUGGACGGAGGCAGACAGCGGGCGGCGCCGCGGGAUGGAAGUGGAAACGUGGCUUAGAUCUAAGGCUGUAUUUUUCUGUUCCUAACG